rnacentral:rRNA from 1 species
UACGAGGGGGGCGAGCGUUGUUCGGAAUUAUUGGGCGUAAAGGGUGCGUAGGCGGUUCCGCAAGUCCUGUGUGAAAUCUUCGGGCUCAACUCGAAGUCUGCACGGGAAACUGCGGGGGCUUGAGUGUGGGAGAGGUGAGUGGAAUUCCCGGUGUAGCGGUGAAAUGCGUAGAUAUUUAGGAAGAAACACCAGUGGCGAAGGCGGCUCACUGGUCCGGUACUGACGCUGAGGUGCGAAAGCGUGGGGGAGCAAAACAGG